rnacentral:rRNA from 1 species
UACGUAGGUGGCGAGCGUUGUCCGGAUUUACUGGGCGUAAAGCGCGCGCAGGCGGUUCUCCAAGUCAGUGGUGAAAGCCCGGAGCUCAACUCCGGAACUGCCAUUGAAACUGUUGAACUUGAGGACGAGAGAGGUGAGUGGAAUUCCCAGUGUAGAGGUGAAAUUCGUAGAUAUUGGGAAGAACACCAGUGGCGAAGGCGGCUCACUGGCUCGUAUCUGACGCUCAGGCGCGAUAGCGUGGGGAUCAAACAGG